UCUACCUAUUACAACAAUUCCCAUGAAUUCUAACUACCAUAUAUUUAAACAUAAUAAAGGGACGAAGAGAAUUUACUUUUAUAAACAUUGCAAAAUAAUAUCUUCAGUGUUGUGCACAGUGAAAUUCUUCUUUAUACAUCUGUCCUAUCUAUCAGAGACGUGAACGGGAUUUUUAUGGAUUCUAACUAUCACUAGUCUUGAUAUCUUUUUAAAUCCUACUUGUGAGAAAUUUGAAGGUUUCUCUAUUAACCCUACUGGCCAGGAUUCUGAAGGUUCUUUUAUAAGUUCUAACCAGAAAAUUUUAAAGUCUAGUUGAAGUCUAUCUAUGGGGGUCUGAUAUAAAAAAGAUUUUAUAUUUGAUUUUAUAUCUGAUUUUAUAAGAUUUUAUAUCUGAUUUUAUAUUUAUAUAAAAAUCUAAAUAUCAUAAAGGGAUGGAAUGGGAAAUUGUAUUUCCUAUUGUAUAGAGCAUUAUAUAGGGCACGCGUGGGACGUGAGUGUCCUUCCGUCGAUUUCACAAUAUCCUAAAAUAAAUUUAAACCAUACAAAAAUUAAUACAAUUCUAUAAAUAUAUAUAUAGUAGGUACCAAUAGAAGGGACUCAAAUAUGACUUCUUCAUACAUGUUUCUUCUCUUUAAAUAAUUUUUUUAAAAUCCAUACUACUCCAUUUCCUAGUCGUUUGUUCAUACGUAUUUGAGAAGUCAUUAAAAUUCCAUAUGCAUAAUUUAUACUUCCUACAAGUUAAUCAAUCUGGAACAUACUCACUUAUUGGAUUAGUAGAUUAAAAAAAGGACAUGGAAGGUAGAUAUAUUAGACACAAGAAAAUAUCAAACUAUCAAGACACGAGUUUCAAUCUAAGGAUUUGAAUUGAAAAAUUUGAAUCUAAAUUUAACUUGGGUUUUUCAUUGAAGUGAAGUUCUAAGAUGAAGAAAGAACAGAUAAAAAUCACUCGGUUUAUUUCUUAACGAUCCAAUGACGUUUAAUUUGAUAACGAUCUUGUAACAACUUCAUUUACCAAACUGAUUAAUAACCAAUUUAUAUUUGUUGUUUAAGAUAAAUUUUAUAAUAACGAAUAUUCAGGUUAUUAAUUCUAAAAAGAUAUACCGAUCAUUCUUAUUUAUGUAUUUUUCAAAUAAAUUAAUAGUAUGAUAAUGUAUAAAAA